rnacentral:misc_RNA from 1 species
GAUGAAGAACGUAGCGAACGUGCGAAACGUAAUGUGAAUUGCAGAAUUCAGUGAAUCAUCGAAUCUUUGAACGCAUCUUGCGCUCCUUGGUAUUCCGAGGAGCAUGCCUGUUUGAGUGUCGUGAAUACUCUCAACUUCAACCCUUUUUUCGGAAAGGGAGGAAGGUUGGACUUGGGUGUUUGUUGAAGUGCGAGCUUCGACUCAUCCUAAAUGCAUUAGCGAUCUGCCUCGAUCACACACAAUGUGAUAAUUAAACCUAAAGCAUUGUUUAAUGAUCAAGUCGAGACUGCUUCUAACUGUCGCAAGACAAUAACGUGCAUACAUUUGUGCAUGUCAUUUGACCUCAAAUCAGGUAGGACUACCCGCUGAACUUAAGCAUAUCAAUAAGCGGAGGA